rfam:Brachypodium distachyon strain Bd21 chromosome 3, whole genome shotgun sequence.
UAAGUACACCCUCCGUUUCAUAAUUCUUGUCUCAAAUUUGACUAAAAAUGGAUGUAUCUAUUUCUAAAAAAUAUCUAGAUACAUGUAAUAUUUCGACAUGAAUUAUGAAACGGAGAGAGUAGAAA